rnacentral:rRNA from 1 species
UGGGGAAUUUUGGACAAUGGGCGCAAGCCUGAUCCAGCCAUGCCGCGUGCGGGAAGAAGGCCUUCGGGUUGUAAACCGCUUUUGUCAGGGAAGAAAUCUUCUGAGUUAAUACCUCGGGAGGAUGACGGUACCUGAAGAAUAAGCACCGGCUAACUACGUGCCAGCAGCCACGGUAAUACGUAGGGUGCAAGCGUUAAUCGGAAUUACUGGGCGUAAAGCGUGCGCAGGCGGUUUUGUAAGACAGAGGUGAAAUCCCCGGGCUCAACCUGGGAACUGCCUUUGUGACUGCAAGGCUUGAGUGCGGCAGAGGGGGAUGGAAUUCCGCGUGUAGCAGUGAAAUGCGUAGAUAUGCGGAGGAAACACCGAUGGCGAAGGCAAUCCCCUGGGCCUGCACUGACGCUCAUGCACGAAAGCGUGGGGAGCAAACAGGAUUAGAUAGCCCUGGUAGUCCACGCCCUAAACGAUGUCAACUGGUUGUUGGGAAGGUUCCUUCUCAGUAACGUAGCUAACGCGUGAAGUUGACCGCCUGGGGAGUACGGCCGCAAGGUU